rnacentral:rRNA from 1 species
GAUCCUGGCUCAGAACGAACGCUGGCGGCAUGCCUAACACAUGCAAGUCGAACGAAGCCUUCGGGCUUAGUGGCGCACGGGUGCGUAACGCGUGGGAAUCUGCCCUUGGGUUCGGAAUAACAGUUAGAAAUGACUGCUAAUACCGAAUGAUGUCUUCGGACCAAAGAUUUAUCGCCCAAGGAUGAGCCCGCGUCGGAUUAGCUAGUUGGUGAGGUAAAGGCUCACCAAGGCGACGAUCCGUAGCUGGUCUGAGAGGAUGAUCAGCCACACUGGGACUGAGACACGGCCCAGACUCCUACGGGAGGCAGCAGUGGGGAAUAUUGGACAAUGGGCGAAAGCCUGAUCCAGCAAUGCCGCGUGAGUGAUGAAGGCCUUAGGGUUGUAAAGCUCUUUUACCCGGGAUGAUAAUGACAGUACCGGGAGAAUAAGCCCCGGCUAACUCCGUG